AGACUGUACAGGGGGAGGUUCUGACCCCUCGUCCUCCAACAAGAGAUGUGACUCCUGCAGUGAGGAUGGCAGUUCAGAUAUAGAGGGCUCUGACCUCUCAUCCCCCAAAAAGAGACCUGACCCCAUCAGUGAGGAUGGGAAUGCAGCUAUAGAGGGGUCCAGAGGCCAUGAGGCCCUCACAGAAGAGGAAGGAAAGAGGAUAAGAGAGCAAGACUACG